rnacentral:lncRNA from 1 species
CAUCUCAAUGUAAUUAUGUGACGAGCAUGUUGUAUAUAUUUGAUGAGUCAAAAUCUAGUGUACUAUGAAUUAACAACUCAAAAAUAAGAAUCUGAAGGAGCAGAACGCAUUUUACUGUAACAUUCUUUCUCAGUCCUUUAUCUGAGAAUGAAGAAACUGUAAAUCAGAUCUUGAUUCUUGAACCCUCACAAUUCUUGUAUAGCAGGAAUCAAUAUUUUCAAAAGAAAGGUGCUUUUUGAAAUACUAUGGUCCCAAAUUUCAUUCAUGAACAGAAUCUGUACGUUGAAAUACCAGAACCUUCGAGAGGUGGCAGAAACAAUAUGGUGCUGAUUCAUAUAGUUCGUUUUCCAGAAACAAUACACGACCAUCUCCGAUUAUGAACCCAGCUACCCUAUUUUCCUUCAAACCCCUAACCAUCAAAACACAAACAUUCACAGAUUUGUUGCAGCCCUCUACUCAGAACGUUUUUGACCUCAUGACCACCGGCUUCUAAAUUGAGCUUGGACUGAAAAAGUACCAUUGCUUCUCACCAAAAAUCGCUUUGCUUGGUAGAACUCGAUGACUAUCAAGCUCAAAUUUCAGCGUUGAGGACCCAGAAUCCGAACAGAGCCGCACGAAAAAGGCUUCGGCAGACUCUGGCGAAAAGAAAUCCCAUAGAUCGACGAGGGCGUCUUAUUCGCAGAGGAAUCUGGAGAUUGGAGUGAAGAAAGGAAGGAUUAGGAAGUGGGGUUUCAAUUUGAGGUUCCUUUGAUGGAUCUGGCUUUUAUUUUUUCUGGGUGAUUGGGUCUGAAUGGGAACAUGAGAGAGAGAGAGAGAGAGAGAGACGGAAGGAAAAUAGAGAAAAAAAAAGUUAAGGUAAAAGACAAAAAUAUCCUUCAGCUGUUAGGGUUGUUAACAGAGCUAACGGUGUCAGAUACCUAUCUUCAAUUUGGGUAAGAAUGUGAGAUAUGAUUAUGAAGUUUUUCAAAGUUGAGAUACUAAAGUUUUGCUUCUCUAAAAGGUGAGACACUGUUUAGAAAAUUUUCCCUUACGAUUAUAUAUGUGAAAUUUUGCUCUUGUAACAGUAUUGACAUGUUAAGCUAUUAGAGCCUCGGUUUAAUCUUUGAGCUUUUUGUAACGAGAGUAUCUUCAGUAUACGCCGUGUAUCCUCACAUACAUAUGUAGAUGAUCAAGAUUAGAAAAAAUAAUAUAAAAAUAUGAUGGUCAAAUAUAUAAAUUGUUAUGAACAGUUAAGAUUACGUCGUGUAAAUACACGUCGUGCAUACAAGAAUUUUCAUUUUAUUAAGAGCUGAUUUCCCUAUGGAAACUGUGCUUAGAUACCAGCCCAUGCUUGGCUAACCGCAGCUUCUUAGUCAUGUGGGUUUCCACAAAUUUUGAAAAUGCCCAUCUCUGUUCAGUAAUUGCAGAUUAGUUAAUAACAUUGAAGUGUGUGCAAUUUGAUUAGUGUAAAGUUUUGUGAAAUGGAUGAAGUCUACCAAAGGUGCAAGAAGUGUUGCAAGGAGACCAAGUAGGAAGCAUUCACCCGGCUUAUGAACCAAGAGCUUUGAGAAUCGAUUGAAAUAUAGGUAUUCCAGUGGCAUACCCCAUGGGAGAUAGUCAGGAACAUUCCAAUGUUCUGUCUUGUAUAACACUGGCAUGGAUUUUCAACCCCUGCAUAUUAAUUCAAUGAAUUAAUCAAGAAUUCAAGAUCACAAAAGUUAAUUGAGUAAAUAUAAAUAUAUACCUUAAAGCUAAUGAAGGUAAUGAUCACAUAACUUAUUACCAUUUGCGUUUGAACACUCCAUUGCAAUGUCCAUAGCAAAUUUCUGAAACCCAACCACUGUUACUUGCUUUCCGGUCACAAACUUAGCAGCGCUUUCAUAAUCCAUGUCGGCAUACUCCAUCGAGUGUAUAACCUUUCCCUGAAAUGCUUCAGGGCCCUUGUUUGGAGGGAACUUGGGAAUGUUUGGGACAUCACUGAAUCGUCCCAUGCAGAGUAUCACAAAGUUUACUACAUGAACCUGUUUGCCACCCUCACGAAAUCGUUAACAGUCUAAUGAAAACAUAAUAUUAUUACACUAAUAACUAGAAACAAGAUGUUAUGAAUGUAUGCAAGUAGAUACUAGAUACCACAGUUGAAAGGCUUUGUUUGUCUUCAAUGGUUACUUUCCAUUUCCCAUCGGACCUGAACGGCUCUCCGGUGCCACCCCACAAACUCGAGGAUUGUAUCUCCUGCUCAGAUGGUCCUUCAUACUCUAUACCACAGACUUUAGUAUUGAACUAGGUAGCUUGCAUGCGCUCCGCUGUGUGAGAGAGAGAGAGAUGAGAUUUGUGUAGAUAUUAAUUACACACGGUAAUAACGUCUUUUUUAUAAAAAUCAUUAAGAUGAGUAGAUCGGAUGACAGUACUGUAAAUCAGCAGAAAAACGGGGGGCAAAAUUGUAAGUUAGAGGAUGAUGACAAGACUGUAAUUAUGACUUAAAUAAGGGCAGAAUCGUCAUUUCCAGGGUUCCUUCUGAACAAUGUCUGCUUGUACCUACUUUACUAUAUAGGUAAAUUUGAUGUGCAUUGACCAAGUUGAAAUAUCGAUCAUAUGAUUAGAUGUAAUCCAAAAUCUGAUUCUGGUUAGGAUGGUCCUCGAUCACUGAAUAUGACCAUGGAAAAUCUGAGAACUGGUAGUAUGAUUUAGGAGACUGUAUCUUUAUUGUCUCAACAGUUUUGGUCCAUACGCCUCCAACACCAUUUGAGGCUUUGAAAACGAUGGGAGGAAAGCCUUUUGAAAGCAUGUACUUGCAGGCAAGAAGGCCACUAAUUCCAGCUCCUACAAUGGCUACAUGCUUCUCCAUUCUGAUCUUAGUAGUCUCAGUUUCUGUAACCAGUUUUGUACCUUGUGCUUUGAGCGAUAGCUAGCUAGGUGUAUAUAUUUAUACGACUAACACGAGGAUGAGUACGAGGAAGCCAACAAUUAUCGUCUUCUUUCGUGGACUAAAAUGAUGCUCUUGGGUUGCACAUAGGUGAUUGUCAAAAAGCCCGCCCGGCCCGGCCUACCCAAACCUUACGGGCUGUGGUCUGGUUGGGCCGAGGCGCAAUGAUAUUUUUUUAAAUUUUAAGGCUGGGCCAGGCCGGGCUAUUCAAAAAAAUCAAAGCCGACGAGCCGCUCACGGGCCCAGACUUUACGAGCUUAUUAGGGUCAAGCCGGACCUAUUAUAUACAUAUAUCUAAUAGAAUUUUAUCAAAUAAAACAAAAAACUAUAAAAAGUUAAGAUUUGUUAAUGAUUGAACUAAAUGUAAUAGAAAAAUCAAAAUAAAAUAUGAUUUAAUACAUUAAUUAGUUCACAUAUUUAACUAAUAACUCCAUAAAAAAUAUUUAUAAAACAAUUGAUAGGGCUUUGGGGAGGGCUAAAAAUCGGGCCGGGUAGGCUUUGAUGGGCAUGUAACGAGCCGGGCCACGGGCCGGGCCGAGGUUUUGAACCCUCCACCCUAGCCCAGCCUUAUGCCCUAUGGGCCGGGCCGAGAUGAGCUUUUCUAUAGACCAGGCCGGGCCGGACUUUGGCCCUUUGGGCCGACAGGCCGCCCAUGGGCUUUUAGGCCAACGGAUCAAAUGAUGACCCCUAAAAUUUUUCAUUAUUACUAUAAAUUUUUUCUGUAAUUGAUAAUUUACAUUGUUCAUAUAUAUUAUCAAUAAACACAACAUGAUGAUAGGUGAACAUAUCGAUUAAUCAUUUAUGUUUAAGAUUCUUCGUAAUAGAAUAUAAACAUCAUAGUACCAAAUACUAUUAACAACUCAGUUUCCUGAUUUACUAUAUGAAAUAAAUUGUUCAUCUUUUCAAUGAUGUCAGGUUUAAUCAAAGAACAUGCAGUGGCUUGAUCUGCAAUUCUGCAUAACAAGAUUGAUGAUGAUAAUAGUACAAAAGAUAAUUCUAUAUAUAACUAGAAAGAUACCCGUGCGUUGCUACGAGAUUUCUUGUCAACAAAAUUUGUAUUCUGUAUAAUUAAAUAGGCAGAAAUUUAAGAAUAUGGGUACUGAAAAUAAUUCAUUCUAAGGAAUCAAAAGAAAAGCCACUAUCGUAUCAUGUUUAGUUAAAACGAUAAAUCAACAUGUUGCUUCACUCUAUACAUGUAUAGAAAACAAUUGGAGUUUCAGAGUGAUACUACCUAGUUGAGUUUAACUAACCUAUAUACAUCUAUAUAUGAUGCAAGCCUAAACCCAAAUCCAAUGACAUAUGCUCAUUCUUUACUUCUCUAUGCCCAUCAUAAAGUAUGUAUCCACAAUGCUAAUCUACCCUUUUAUCUGCACAUAUGCUGAUAGCCAGGUGAAUACAUUAUACUGGAAGUUUAGCAGCGUUGAUCACUAUACAAAGUGAACAUAAAUCAUAUAUUACUGAAAGCCAAUACAUGUUUUGAGGAGACUAUGACAUAUCUUCAUUAAAGCCAGUGCACCACCAUUAACUUAAAUGAAAAAUAUAUUGUAUUGAGUAAGCUAUUCAAACCCAACAAAAAAAAAACAAAACACAGAGCAGUAAUCCUAUUUUACUAUAUAUUCUUAAUGUCUAUUAUAGACCACACCAAAGAGUAAACCAUAUAUGUGGCAAGAAACAUUACUACUCUAGGACACACGCCCUCUUGUUAUAUAUUUUAAUUUCUUGAUAUAUGUGGUAUCUAUUUUAGCAUUUUGACCAAAGCCAGCUAAGUUUACAUAAGGAAGCAAAAGAAUUAAAUGAGGUCUAUUAAGGAAUUUAUAUCCAUACGUUCAAUUAUCUACUGUCUUGGUAUCUUUAAUUAUUUGUCAUCUCAAUAUUCCAUCUCUAUAUUGUUGUAAGUGUAUUUCUCAUUCCAGUUUUACACCUUUAAGAUUUAAGAUUCUUUGAUAACUUAUAAUCCCCAUAGUCCCGGUUUAUCUAUGAAAUUAUGAACUUUAUCAGAAAGUCUUUCAAGUUCUAACAGAGCUCAAUCUUUUGCUUAUCGCAAAAUGCAAGAGAUUUCAACUGAAAAUCAAUGGAAACCCUAAAGAUCUAUAUAUAAAAGAAGGAAACAUAAGAAAAAACUAAUAAAAGUGCAUAUAUACCAAAGAAAGUCAAGCAACCAUAAAAGCAACAAAACUGAGACCAGUAGUUAGUAAGACUUCACAUUUUGUUUCAUUUUGAAUAAUCAAACUCCACAUAAAUCUGAAAACUGAUAAUUUCCUAUAGUAAACAUACAUAAAGACUUUACCUCUGUUUUAUUUACAAUAUUUAGAUCUUUCUGCAAGAGUUCUUAUGACCAUCUUUGGAUCAUUGCAAUUUUUCUCAAGAAUUUAAUGAGUCAGUAUUGUAUUUAUUUUUCAGUUUUGUAUUUAUUUUUGCAAGAUAUCAAACAAAUUCAUAAACAUUUUCACUGGAGAUAAAAACUAUCAAAUGCCAUAUCCACAGCUUAUUGCUUCUAUUUUAAUAAAAAAAAAUCUAAUACUAUUUCUAAUGGCUGGUCAAAAAACACUCAAGUCUGAGUUAUGCCUGAAUAUCGCCUAAAUUCAAAUUAUGGUGAGAUCUUCUUAUCAACUUGAGGACUUUAGGUGACUGCAAACGAAAAUUCCUAGUGAGAUCUUCUUAUCAUUAUAAAAAUGUAAAUUAUAAUAGUCUCAAUUGUGUAAACAUCUUCUACAAUAAAAAAAUAAAAAAUAAAAAUAAAACAACCCAACACCCAGUCCUAACACUGUUCACGUGAACAGUAAUUGUGAACAAUCUAAAAACAGUGUACGAAAAAUAGUAUAUGUUAAAUGCUUGCGGUCAAGUUUGGAAGGCCAUACAUAUAAAAUAACAGUACAGUACUCAAAGUAGUGUACGUCUUCGAAAAAACAAGAAAAACAAUUUUGUUGAGCUAGCUGAUUUUUCAUCUUAUAUGUGGGCGACUAAUUUUUGUAAGGAAAAAUCAUCCAAAUAAUAUUCCAAGUUUUCUUGUCUGUUAACUCUGAUAUCUCAACUUUAUGAAAUGCUAAAACAGUGUAUCUCAAAGUUUUGAACCUGACCCAGUAUCUCGAAUCCAUUCCUCUGUUAAUGAAGUUAACUUGUCAGGGGUAUAAUCGUCUCUUCAUGUCUUUUCAAAACCCUUCCUCCCUUUCCCCCCAUAUUGGCGUCCGUUUCUCUUACACUUGACACUCUGAGCAGCUGACCUCUUUCACUCUACUCUUUUCCUUAGUCAAAGAGAUUCGAUUCCCUUCCUUACUUUGUGUGGAAGAACAAAACAAACACAUAACCCAUUCAAGAGAGAUUGGAUUCAGAUACCGGUACAGGAGAUUCGAUCCUGUACAAGUGAUCAUGUGAUAAUGUAGACCCGAGAGUGAUAGGAUAUAGCAUAUCCUAUGUACGGUGUUGAAAGUUGAAACCGUGAACCUCUUACGGGUCAAGUGCUCAUAUGUUGUGUGGUACCCGUGUUGUAGUGUACGUAGGGAAUUGACAGUGAGUUCCACAUGAGCAAGGCCAGUACGUGAAUGGACACUCUCGUUACCCAUAGCUAUAAGAAAAGAAAAAUAUUUUAAUUAUUGGAUUUGGCCAUAAACGGUAGUUGACCAGGUUUGCGGAGUAAGACAAAUCGUAGUGACGAUCACAUGAUAUUUUAUACAUCUCCUGUUCAGGUAUAGAUUUCUGAGCUUAAACCUUUUUCAUUUCACGUACAUCGUUUUAUGAAUAUCAAAGCAGGAUUAUGCCAAGUUUGUCUUUUAAUCUGUUUUAUUAAAGGAUCGUGAAAUUGUUUUGGCUUGUUCUUCGGCGUAUAUUUAUGUUAUCGUAAACAUGGUUAUUCACCCCUAGCUUGGUUAACUGGCACCUAUUUGGCAAAGUAAGGACGAACGUUUACCCAUACAACAGAUUUGGAUGCAAUUCAAAUACUGCAUGUGUACUAAUACGGGAGAUGGAAGGAGGGAGCGUGGGCGCAUGAUUACUAUGUUAAGAGUCUUUAUAUGUUGUUGAGGUGACUUGUUUCCUUUUGAAUCUUUAACCUAGCUAGUUUAACUUCAAACCUUGCACUUGAGUGUCUGUUUAUCAAGUGCCUUUGUGAAUCUCAUAUGCAAAUCUUGUUUAUUUGUGAAGUCAUAUAUCCUACUCUUGUGUGUUAGAUUGUGGGGGUAUCAUAGUACUUCUCUUAUGUUUGAAAUGCUUUAAGUUAUACUUUUAAGCACCAUUUUCGUUUUUUAACUUUGUUUUGCUUUUGUGAAAACUAAAAUGUUCUCUUGACUUGUUGAUGCCUUUGGUUCUAGGUUAGCGGGUUAUCAGGAGGUUUUUCGGACGUGUCAGUUUCUCGUUGGCAUAAGAUCAUGGCUCUAUGGUUCACCCCCAGGGUGCUACACCGUCGUUGUCCUAAAUCAUUCGAUCCGAUCUCGAGUUCCCAGUCCAUUAUGAGACCGCCGUCAAGCUGUUGUGGAAAUCGCCAUCUGUCAUUGAUCUCGGUCGUGGUCUAGCUGUUGCGUCUUCUUGGGUUGAGAGAGAGAGAUGAGAUUUGUGUAGGUAUUAAUUACACACGGAAAUAACAUCUUUUUUAUAAAAAUUAUUGAGAUGAGCUGUAAAAAUCUUUUGUCAUUAAAAUGGGCAAUCAAUUUUUCUGUCUUCAAUGAAUUUUUCAUUUUGCCUUUCUCAUUCUAAGCUUAUUACUAUUAUCAAUAUUUGUUUAUUAGAUUUCUAACUUGAUUAUUAAUUACAUGAAGUGUGGAGUUUUGAAAGGUUCCAACGGUUCCUAAUAAAUUCUUUCCUGAUGCUUCCGUAAACUAAACGAGGCCGUAUUACCACCGCUCAGAAGUUCAGAGCUGAUUCUACGCACCAAGGUGCACUUGUACCAUUAAUGUGCGAUUCCUCAAAUCGCCGUAUGCGAAGAUCGAAUGAAGACUACAUACCCUAAAUUCCUUCUUUUCAUUUUUAUUUUUGAUCUGAUCAAAUUAAACGCUCAAAAUAAGAGUAUCUCUUAUUCGACCUCAGACUCUCAUAGUCUCACCUUCUGUGUUGGAAACACUAUGACUAUUUUUUUGGGUUUCAAUUUUGUUAACGGUAUUAGAAUACACACAUGAUAAUGCGACAUGGAUGACCGGAUCAAAAUAUUGCAUAUUAAUUGCUCGGUUCACUUACACCUUGAUGCGAGAAGUUCAAGAUAAGACAUGACUGAAUUCUAUUUUAAAGGCAGAUUACACCAUGGAGGAAAUAAGGUAGUAUAGUUGCAUAUUCCUCUAUCUAGCUAUUUCUUUCAAACAUAGGGAUUUAAAGAUCUUUCUAGCUAGUAGUGUAUGUCGGCAGUCGGCCGAAGGCCAUCUAGUACUAACACAAAAGAUCUUUCAUGCAUUUUUGUUUUGUUCCCCAAGCCUCGGCCGCUUGCCAACAAAAAGAGGUCACACGUAUUUUGGAGCUCAUAAUAAUUUUCUUGAAUUAAAGAUUCAGGGCAAGUACUGUUAAGUUGGUAAACUAAUUUAAGGGGAAACAUAAUCCAUUGGAGUAUAGGGCUCAAAUAGUUCUGCAAACAUUCCCUUCUUCCUUUUGUGGCUCCAUCCCAUGUCCUUGCACAAUUGGUCAUUGUACCAUAUAUGAAGGGCACCGAUGCAUGAUCUUCGGUAGUACUCUCCCGCAUAUUGCUUUGCAUAUUUGUCCCAUUUCUUCACAUCUUUCUCCAUCUCUUUUAUGCUAGGUACCUUGAACGUGCCGGCAAGGAGCUCUGCUAGCCAUCUGCAUCUCAUCUCAGAGGUGUACAAGUUUGAGAUACUCUCAGAGAAUCCGAUUACAGCUAGUUGUGGAAUUCGUCCAUGUAUGCAUUGCCUGAAUGAAAUGUAUGUCUUCAGAUAUGCAGUCUAGCCAAUAAAAUUUUGGGUUCCCAACAAGAAAAUGUUGCCAUGUAUUACAAUAUCUAUGUAAAAAACCUGGCUAGUUAACCUGUAGAGGGGCAAUAUCGCGUCCUUCGGUCCCGUUAUAUAGUCCUGAAAGGUAGGAGACACAAAGAUGUCUUUAAGCUUCUUUUCACCUCUAAACCCUGUUGCCAAUAUGACUAACUCCGUCUUGAUCAGAGUAGAUGCAUCCCCCUCAACCAGAAUGCCUUCUUCGACAAAGCCGAAGCUAGCGGAUGAUUUCUUCAAUACGAUGCUUCCCUCUUGGACUCGAUCAAAGAACUUUUCAGGGACUAUGGCAACCACACAAGAACUAAUAUCUUGAAGGAAACUUUGCUUAGGUAUCAUCCCAUACUUGUAUAAUCCAAGCUUCUUACUUGCAUAUGUUUCCACAAAUUUUGAAAACAUCCAUCUCUGCUCAAUACAUAUACUUUCAGAUUAUCUAUUAUUUAAAAUUUAAACAUCAUUUUUUACUGAUUGAAUUUACAGUAAGUAAACUCGAAGCACAUGUUUACCAGAGGAGACAGCAGUGUUGCAAGGAGACUGAGCAGGAAGCCUUCGCCAGGCUUAUGAACCAAGAGCUCGGAGAAGCGAUUGAAGUAGAGUAAUGCUAAAGACAUACCCCAUGGAAAGUAGUCUGGAAUAUUCCAGUGUUCUGUUCUGUACAACAAUGUGCAUGGAUUUUCUAUCCCUGAAAAUUAAUCCAACUAACUAAGAAUGAAUAAGAAACGUCAAAUACGAACUUUGAGUAAAUGAUCACUAUUUAAAAUCUUUAAUUACCAUUAGCAUUUGAACAUUCCAUUGCAAUGUCAAUUGCAAACUUCUGAGACCCAACAACUGUUAUUUGCUUUCCUGUCACAAAUUUAGCUGCCCUUUCAUAAUCCAUAUUGGCAUAGUCCAUGGAGUGUAUAACUUUUCCAUGAAAUGAUUCCGGUCCCUUGUUCAGAGGGAAUUCAGGAAUGUUUGGAACAUCGCUGAAUCGUCCGAUGCAGAGGAUCACAAAGUCUACCAGAUAAGUCUGUUUGCCAAAUCCAAUUAGUGUAACAAUAUCAUAUCAGUUUGAAAAAUUGACAAUAUACAUAUAUGUAUAUAACAUAGAGAAAGUCGAAACCUAUAAUCACAUUAUAUAUACCUUACUUGACAGGCUUUGCUUCUCUUCUACUAUAACUUUCCAUUUCCCUUCUGAGCUGAAAGGCUCUCCAGUGCCACCCCAAAGACUCCAAGAUUGCAUCUCAUCCUCAGAUGGGCCUUCAAACUCCAUGCCACACACUUUUGUAUUGAACUUGAUGUGCCUGACCAAAUCGAAAUGGCGAGCAUACGACUCUAUGUAUUCUAAUACCUGAUUGUGGUUGGGAUGGUCCUCUUCCACUGAAGAUGGCCAUGGAAAAUCUGAGAAUUGGUAGAAUGCUUUAGGAGUUUGGAGCUUUGUAGUCUCCACAGUCUUGGUCCAUACGCCUCCAAUGGUGCUAGUGGAUUCAAAAACAAUGGGACGGAAGCCCUUCGAAAGAGUGUACUUGCAGGCAAGAAGGCCACUGAUCCCAGCUCCCACGAUGGCCACCUUCUUAUCCAUCAAGUUUGAUCUAAAUUUUUGCUAGUGUUGUAUGCUGGCCUCUAUAUACUUGGAUAUAUAGAUUGCACUGCUUGAACAUAAUUGAAAUGUAUGGCCCAAUAAUAUAAGGGAUAGAUGUGAAAUCUACGCUCUCACUUUCUAUUUUUAGUCAUCAUUUACAUAAGAAGACAAAUAAAUCACUCGAGACAAAAUUUUAGUUACCACAAAUAAAAAAUAAAAAUAUAGAUUACAAUUUAAUGAGUUUUGGAUUUCACUUCCCUAAAAUAACCAAAGGAAAAACAAUUGAAAUGUGGAGCCCCCGUCUCACGUCCCCAUCAUCAAUGUCCAAAGUUGCCACGGCUUCGAGUCUUUCUCUUCAAAAGAAAGCCACUCCUCAUCGGUGGCUCUUGGCUUUUGUCAUAUUGAUAACAACGGCAUGGCUCCUUAAUUUGGCCAGGUAGUGAAAAAGCCACGGAAACCCGUGCGGUGCUCGAUAGUCCGUCCUCGGCCAUUUUUGAUUUUUUUUUUCUAGUGGUACAAUUUUAAUAUCAGAUUAUAGUCUCUUAAUGAUUAUCAUAUGAUCAUUUGAUUCUCAAUACGAGACAUGUUGAAAAGCAUUUAUCAUUUUAAUCACAUAUAAGUAAUAUAAUCAGUAAUAUAAUCACUUCGAUAAAAGAAAAUAUAUGGUGAUCAAGAGAAGUUGAUGUACUUAUAUGUGCAGUGUCAACUCUUUAUAUUGAGAGAUGUUUUUGGGUGAAACCUUAUGAACAAAACUGUGAGGGUUGAUGGGUCAAAAACAGACAAUAUCUUAGUUGUGUGGACUAGGUUGUUACAGCUAGUACUAGAGCCUGUCUGGGCUGGAAGUGUGCUGACAAGAACGUCAAACCUCUAAGGUGGGUGGAUUGUGGUGACUGACUGGGCAGGUGCUGAAGACACUGGCAAGCUAGUAGGUGCACGCGUCCAACAUUGCCCGGGGGAGACUAGUUGAUGUGCUUAUAUGUGCAGAGUCAACUCCUUACAUUGAGACGCAUUUUGAGAUGAAACCUCAAGAACAAAACCGUGAGGGCUGAUGAGUCCAAAGCGGACAAUAUUUCAGUUGUGUGUACUGAGUUGUUACAAGUGUGCUGGAGUAUUUUUGUUUCAGUAGAGUAUGAUUGUGUACUCUGAGUGAUACCAUUAUCUUUCGGCCUUAAUAGGCAUGUUAUCAUGUGUAGCUUGCUGAAUUGCGUCUUGGAUGACCUUUUCAACUCCAAACAAAUGAAUAAUGUUAUUGAUAAAAAAUGGCUUUCUCUCGUCUGGUCGCUCGCUUCUCAACCCUAGCCCUCGUCUUCUCUUCCGAUGGCGGCGGUGGGUUUUGGAAUGACGGUGGCGGUGGGCUUUGUGUGUUGUCAGCCUUGGUUGGCUUCAGGCACGGGUUGAGCUGCGACUCAACCCCAUCUCUCUUCCUUCUUAUAUCCUCGCGGUGGUGGAGGGGAGGUUUACCCACUCCUACCGAGUGGUUUCUCCAGUGCUCUGGAUUGGCACAGGAUCUCACAAGGUCGGAGAUGAGGGUUGGAGCAUCCUCCGUGGUGGCGUUAGCGGCGAGCGGGUUAGAGUUAACAUUUUGGAUCCAAAUCUUGCAAGGAUGAAGGCAUGGUCGACGUGUGCGAUGGUGAAUCCGACGGGAUCAGCUUUCAUCUUGCCUAGUUAGAGUAGUGAUGGUGUUGAUGCGUAUCAGAGAUGGCUGCUGAAGAACCCUAGGUUGACCGGCAAGGCAAUUUAUGGUGCAGUGGUGGCUGAUGGCGAAGCAGAAUUUUUGGGGGCCUUAGGCCUCAAUUCUGCAGUUCUAGGGUUGAAGGUUUGGGCCUUGGGCCUGCUAUCACUCUGGUUUGGAUAUUUUCGGGCUUGUCUUGCUACUCUCUCGGAGUCCAUCCCGGUUGCUAUGGCGUUGAUGGUCGAGGAAGAAGGCCUCAGAGAUACCUCUUCUGUGUAGGAUGGUUCCGGGGUUUGUCAAAUAAACCAGGAUUAGGGCAUGCCCAAUUCUGUUUGUUAUGGUCUUUUGAUUUUAGUUUUAGUUUUAUUUUCUGCUUGUUUGAACCCAUAGUAGCUUCAUUUAGGUUGCUCUCAGACUAUUUCGUAUGACUUUUUCUUAUCGUUGUCCUUACGGGUAAGUCAUAUUGUAAGUUGUAACUGUUAUUUUUCAUUGC